CUAUACAUUUAAAAUGAAUUUCCCUAAAAGGUAGAGGAUGAUCCAUGAAUUAAUCUAACCAUCAACUAAAAAAAUCCUAGAUGAAAACAUAGCAGAAAAGUUAGAAAAACUCUUUGCUUUGGAUCUAGUUAUACUUUUCGAGUAUAUUGACAAUUCAAAAAAACUGCUCAUACUAUGAUUAUAGUAUAAUCACGAGCGGUUGUAUAUGGCCCUAUCGUCUAGUGAUGCCCCUAUCGUCUAGUGGUUCAGGACAUCUCUCUUUCAAGGAGGCAGCGGGGAUUCGACUUCCCCUGGGGGUAGGGAGUAUUAUGAAAGGAGGUUAAUCAUAGAUUAGCAAAAACCCUAGAAUAAAUUCUUCCUGGGUCGAUGCCCGAGUGGUUAAUGGGGACGGACUGUAAAUUCGUUGACAAUGUCUACGCUGGUUCAAAUCCAGCUCGGCCCAAAAAUCUAGGGCUUCGUGAAUAUGAACUAAAUCCUUUUGUUUUUCUCCCAUAAAAUAAAAUGUCUGAUCUAUAGAAAUAAAAGAGAAAUAAAAAAGGGGAUUUUUUUUCUAAUCCAUAUCUCUCUCAUUCCUUUCUUACAAACAAAAGAGUUUUUCUUGUUGAAGGGUGGAUUAUUAUCCAUUUUUAGUGAUAAAAAAUCACGACAUACUAGUUAUGUCACUCUCACUAUACCCACGUAUAAUAUAAUAUUAAUAUGUGGGUAUGUAGUAUAUGAUUCGUCUAUUUCUUAGAGUACGACAGACGAAUCGAAUCUUCUUAUGGUUCUAUUUAAGAAUGGGUAUGCCAUACACCCCGCGGGGAUUGUAGUUCAAUUGGUCAGAGCACCGCCCUGUCAAGGCGGAAGCUGCGGGUUCGAGCCCCGUCAGUCCCGAACUAGGGUUCAAUGAAUGGAGAAAUUCAUAUUUCCUUUUUCCAUGAAAAAAAAGGGGCAGGGAGCAAGAUCAAAUACCCAUAGGGCACCCUUACUUCACUUUUUUAUUUUGCAUCUCUCAUUAAAGAGGGAGGGAAGGAGUAUAGGAAUUUUUUUCACUACUCCCGAUCGAUAAAGAUAAAGAAAGACACACAUACGAUAUGUGGAUUAGUAGAAUUUUAGGAUAUUACUCUAUCUUUCUUUAUGAUGAUACCAUCCUCAUCUUAAUUUCCUAUUCCACUGUUAUGGAAUAGAGUACCGGUAUUUUACCGGAAUCCAUACAUAAAUUGUAUUCCCUUUUUAUUUCAGACCUCUUUUCCCCAUCUCACUUCUACUGCUUAUUUGGAUGUCUAUGUGACCCAUAGAAAGUUGCUCAUAUAAUACAUACAUAAUUGUAUGUAUAACUAUAAGAAAAAGGAAGAGAAAUUGUAUAAGAUUAAGAAAGCUCGUGGGUUAGAGAUAUAGAAAAGAAAAAGUAGAAAAAAAAGGAUUAAAAAAGAGGGAAUUCCUAAUCCAAUCAAAAAACCCAUUUUGGUCUUAGUAUGGAUAUAGGAUCUUCCUAUGUUAUACUAUAUAACUCUCAUCCAUGAAUUGAUUUGAUAGAUCCGAUAUUCAUAAUAUUGAAUUGAUUCAGUAUUAUCAGAAUGCAAGCCCUACCCUUGAAUUUACAAGAUACCCCUUUUUCCUCUCCAUGGGAUUACAUCCCGAGUUAUUGUGAAAAUAAAAAAUAAAGAGGUUAUGGAAGUCAAUAUUCUCGCAUUUAUUGCUACUGCACUGUUCAUUCUAAUUCCUACUUCUUUUUUACUUAUUAUUUAUGUAAAAACAGUCAGCCAAAAUAAUUAAGUGGAAUUCCAAUUAAUCAUUGAAGAAAUGAAAAAGGGAUUAAAUAAAAAAAAUCCAAGUCUUAAAUGAAAGGAUCUGGUUGGAAUCUUAAAGUGUGGUAGAAAGAACUACAUAUAGUUUUUUCUACGACACUUUAGAGUCUUUCUAUUAUAUUAUCUUUGAAUCUACAUAGAAUAGAUUAGUAGAUUGAAAUAGUUAAGUAGUCUAAUUCAAUUUCUUUUUUCAUUGCAUCCACUUAAUUUCAAUCAGGUCAAAAUAAAAAAAUCGAAGACAAUUCUUGACCAAAGAAUCCAUGGAAGGAAAGAAAAAUAAUAUAAGAAUAGACUAUAGUAAAAAGUAAAAGGAAAAAACCAGCGAAUCUUUCAUGCUUAAAUAUCCCGCGAGAUGCUUCAAAAGAGAAUAAAAAUUAUUCUAAGAAUAAAGAAAGAGUAUAAAACAAAUGGAAAAUGUGUGAUAUGCCGUGAAUAGUUCCGUGGAAGAAAGUCUAAUUUUCUUAUGUAUAGAACUUUUUUUAACCAUUAGUCAUUUCUAGUAGAAAUUCUUAAUUGGUAUAAUGGCUCUUUCUUACAAUACAAGAGUUUCUUACAGGAGUGAAACAAAACUAAAGAAAAAGAUUAAAGAAUAACGUUUGACAAAAUAAUUAAUGCAAAACGAUCAAUUAAAAAAAGAAUUGAUACAACAAUUUGAUUACUUAAUCAAUUAGUAGUAUCGUAUCCCUAGAGUCCACUCCUUCCCCAUACUACUAGUGAAAGAGAAAAUGUAAAGACUACCAUUAAAGCAGCCCAAGCGAGACUUACUAUAUCCAUCUAAAUUAUGUCUCCUAUUUCUAUGAAGGGAUUAUUCUACUAUUGAUCAAUAAUCAUAGUGGAAUCAAGGGUACAGAGUCAAAAAGGGCUUCUGCCCUAAGGCCAUGGAUCAAUCAGUUCAAGGAAUUUACUCCUAACAAAUUCUUAUAGGAAUUCUUGUAGAAUUAGAGAGCAUUAAAAAUACGAUACUAUACUAUAAGCCCUUUUUUCCUUACCUUAAAAAAGAAAGAGUACGGGAAUGAUGUCCUGAAUAGAAGAAGCGGGAAUAGGAAGAUUUUUUAUUCCUUUUGUUACUCUAGUGUAUGUAGGUCACAUAAGAUGUACGAUAAAAAAAUGUAUGAUAAUUAGGAAGUCUUGAUAUUCUUUCGUGGAGUCCCUUCUGGAAUCUUAGAUUGAAAAAGAGAAGAAUGCCCCUUAGGGACCUUUCUUUGGAUACCAAGAUUUCUGACAUCUUAUCCUCGUAUUUAAAAAUUCUCAAAUCGAAUCAAUUAAGAACCAAUUCAAAUUCAUAUAAUAAAAGAAUAAGGAAACACUACCUCACCCCUAUUGAUAACCAUUUUGGCCACUACCGCCAAAACAAACCCUAACCCUAGUUUAAGGAUAGAACUAUGGUAUGGUUUCUCUAAACCCAGUAUCGGCAGGCUUAGUUACUCUCUUGCCCGAACUUAUGCGAAGUAAAAAUUGAUUGAAUUCGAUCAGUACUAGAAAACCUAAGUAUUUUAUUGAUCAGGCGGCACCCAGAUUUGAACUGGGGAUAAAGGAUUUGCAGUCCCCUGCCUUACCGCUUGGCCAUGCCGCCAAAAAAUCCGAUCGAAAAUCUAGAAAACAGCAAGUAUUCAUCCACGUUUUCUUACGAAAAGCCCCUUUCUUUUAUUUUGAAUAUAAUUAAACUUACUUUUUUCCAAUCUUUUUCAAAAAAGAUACUCCUGCUUUUUUUGAUCCAGUUUCGAUUAUUCUCCUCGAUAGAUUCUAUCUUAAAACAUACAUUGCUAACACAAUAAAACUUCCCAUUUCUUUCUAUUGAGAUGAAAAAGAAGAAAAGUGGAUUUCUAGUCACAGGCUGCAAAAUUCAGAACAAAUUGGAACCAUUAACUAGAAUUCUCUUUCUUUUUUGAAUUGCAGUAGUGAACUACUCUUAAAUCGGUAUUAUCUCCCCCCCUUCAAUUUCAAUGGCAUAAUAAAAUAUUAUGGCUUUAUGCUUAAUCCGUGUAUAGGUGAACUUUAGGUCCGAGCAGCAUUAUUAUCCAAAGAUCCCCUUUAUGUACAUAUCUCUAUGGGGAAUCGUGCUUUAAUUUUUCAAAGUAUUAAAUUAAAUAUCUUGAAUAAAAAAAGGAAAUUUGCUCUGAUAUUAGAGUAUAACCUGACUAUCUUGGCCUACCCAAGUGAAAUUACGAUAAAAGAAAAGCAUGGAUAUGGGGAGAGGUGGAUAAUUAGAUUGGCAUGUACUUAAAAAAGGGACUUACUUUAUUUUAGAAUUCCACAAUGAAAUACUUAAUUUUCUAGCAAUUAUACUACUCCGAUCCGAAAUAAAAAAGAACCCUCAAAUUAUUUUUAGAAAUUAAAGUAAGCACGCUAUUCUAAAUCGAAGUAAAGUAAAACUUUCUAGUGUAUUAUAUUACGGCUUUAUUACAUUCAUAGAAAGGGGAUAAAAUGAGAAAUCUUUGCCAUUCAAUCUGAUUAGAAUAUUAUAAAGUAUAAGUGGCAUAAUUUUUUUUGUAGGAAUAUUUUAGCAAUUCAUUUUCAUUUCAUUUGUACCCCUGGUAAACUAGAAUUUUCGUCGAAAUGGUCUCUAUUCAUAUGUAUGAAAUACAUAUAUGAAAUACGUAUGUGGAGUUCCCUAGAAUUUCAUGUGAUUCAGUAAACAGAAUAUAGAUUCCAUGAUUGCUAGAUCAAUCCGUAGGGAUUGAUGAAGAGUGAGCUGAUAAUGGAAUUUUUCUUUGAUAAACAGGAAACUUAAGAUUAAGAUGCUCCGGAAUGGAAACGAGGGAAUGUCCACAAUACCCGGAUUUAGUCAGAUCCAAUUCGAGGGAUUUUUUAGGUUCAUUAAUCAAGCCUUGGCAGAAGAACUUGACAAGUUUCCAACAAUUAAAGAUCCAGAUCACGAAAUUGCAUUUCAAUUAUUUGCGGAAGGAUAUCAAUUGCUAGAACCCUCGAUAAAAGAAAGAGAUGCUGUGUAUGAAUCACUCACCUAUUCUUCCGAAUUAUAUGUAUCUGCGAGAUUAAUUUUUGGUUUCGAUGUGCAAAAGCAAACCAUUUCUAUCGGAAACAUUCCUAUAAUGAAUUCCUUAGGAACCUUUAUUAUAAAUGGAAUAUACCGAAUUGUGAUCAAUCAAAUAUUGCUAAGUCCUGGUAUUUACUACCGCUCGGAAUUAGAUCAUAAGGGAAUUUCUAUCUACACCGGGACUAUAAUAUCAGAUUGGGGAGGGAGAUCGGAAUUAGCAAUUGAUAAAAAAGAAAGGAUAUGGGCUCGCGUGAGUAGAAAACAAAAGAUAUCUAUUCUAGUUCUAUCAUCAGCUAUGGGUUCGAAUCUAAGAGAAAUUCUAGAUAAUGUUUCCUACCCUGAAAUUUUCUUGUCUUUCCCGAAUGCUAAGGAGAAGAAGAGGAUUGAGUCAAAAGAAAAAGCUAUUUUGGAGUUUUAUCAACAAUUUGCUUGUGUAGGUGGGGACCUGGUAUUUUCGGAGUCCUUAUGCGAGGAAUUACAAAAGAAAUUUUUUCAACAAAAAUGUGAAUUAGGAAGGAUUGGUCGACGAAAUAUGAAUCGGAGACUUAAUCUUGAUAUACCUCAGAACAAUACAUUCUUGUUACCACGAGAUGUAUUGGCCGCUACGGAUCAUUUGAUUGGAAUGAAAUUUGGAACGGGUAUACUUGACGAUGACGAUAUGAAUCACUUGAAAAAUAAACGUAUUCGUUCGGUUGCGGAUCUGUUACAAGAUCAAUUCGGAUUGGCUCUUGGUCGUUUACAACAUGCAGUUCAAAAAACUAUUCGUAGAGUAUUCAUACGUCAAUCGAAACCGACUCCCCAAACUUUGGUAACUCCAACUUCAACUUUCAAUUUUAUUAAUAACUACUUAUGAGACCUUUUUUCGCACAUACCCAUUAUCUCAAGUUUUUGAUCAAACGAAUCCAUUGACACAAACUAUUCAUGGGCGAAAAGUGAGUUGUUUAGGUCCUGGAGGGUUGACGGGGAGAACCGCAAGUUUUCGGAGCCGAGAUAUUCAUCCGAGUCACUAUGGGCGUAUUUGUCCAAUUGACACGUCUGAAGGAAUCAAUGUUGGACUUACUGGAUCCUUAGCAAUUCAUGCGAGAAUUGAUCACUUGUGGGGAUCUAUAGAGAGUCCGUUUUAUGAAAUAUCUGCUGAGAAAGCAAAAGAAAAAAAAGAGAGACAGGUGGUUUAUCUAUCACCAAAUAUAGAUGAGUAUUAUAUGAUAGCAGCAGGAAAUUCUUUGUCCUUGAAUCAAGGUAUUCAGGAAGAACAGGUUGUUCCAGCUAGAUACCGCCAAGAAUUCUUGACUAUUGCAUGGGAACAGAUUCAUGUUAGAAGUAUUUUUCCUUUCCAAUAUUUUUCUAUUGGGGGUUCUCUCAUUCCUUUUAUUGAGCACAAUGAUGCGAAUCGGGCUUUAAUGAGUUCUAAUAUGCAGCGCCAAGCAGUUCCACUUUCUCGGUCCGAAAAAUGCAUUGUUGGAACUGGAUUGGAACGCCAAACAGCUCUAGAUUCGAGGGUUUCCGUUAUAGCCGAACGCGGGGGAAAGAUCAUUUCUACUGAUAGUCAUAAGAUACUUUUAUCAAGUAGUGGGAAGACUAUAAGUAUUCCUUUAGUUAACCACCGUCGCUCUAACAAAAAUACUUGUAUGCACCAAAAACCUCGGGUUCCACGGGGUAAAUCCAUUAAAAAAGGACAAAUUUUAGCAGAAGGAGCUGCUACAGUUGGGGGGGAACUUGCUUUAGGAAAAAACGUAUUAGUAGCUUAUAUGCCAUGGGAAGGUUACAAUUUUGAAGACGCAGUACUAAUUAGCGAAAGUUUGGUAUAUGAGGAUAUUUAUACCUCUUUUCACAUCCGGAAAUAUGAAAUUCAGACGGAUACGACAAGCCAGGGCUCCGCUGAAAAAAUCACUAAAGAAAUACCACAUCUAGAAGAACAUUUACUCCGCAAUUUGGACAAAAAUGGAGUUGUUAGGUUGGGAUCCUGGGUAGAAACUGGUGAUAUUUUAGUAGGUAAAUUAACGCCUCAGAUAGCGAGCGAAUCAUCAUAUAUCGCAGAAGCUGGAUUAUUACGGGCCAUAUUCGGCCUUGAGGUUUCCACUUCAAAAGAAACUUCUCUGAAAUUACCUAUAGGUGGAAGAGGGCGCGUUAUCGAUGUGAAAUGGAUCCAAAGGGACCCCCUCGACAUAAUGGUUCGUGUAUAUAUUUUACAGAAACGUGAAAUCAAAGUUGGGGAUAAAGUAGCCGGAAGACAUGGGAAUAAAGGGAUCAUUUCCAAAAUUUUGCCUAGGCAAGAUAUGCCCUAUUUGCAAGAUGGAACACCCGUUGAUAUGGUCUUCAAUCCCUUAGGAGUACCCUCCCGAAUGAAUGUGGGACAAAUAUUUGAAAGCUCGCUCGGAUUAGCGGGGGAUCUUCUAAAGAAACAUUAUAGAAUAGCACCCUUUGAUGAGAGAUAUGAGCAAGAGGCUUCAAGAAAACUUGUGUUUUCAGAAUUAUAUGAAGCCAGUAAAGAAACAAAAAAUCCAUGGGUAUUUGAACCCGAGUACCCGGGAAAAAGCAGAAUAUUUGAUGGAAGAACAGGCGACCCCUUUGAGCAACCUGUUCUAAUAGGGAAGUCCUAUAUCUUAAAAUUAAUUCAUCAAGUUGAUGAGAAAAUUCAUGGGCGUUCUACUGGGCCCUACUCACUUGUUACACAACAACCGGUUAGAGGAAGAGCCAAGCAAGGGGGACAACGAGUAGGAGAAAUGGAAGUUUGGGCUUUAGAAGGAUUUGGUGUUGCUCAUAUUUUACAAGAGAUACUUACUUAUAAAUCUGACCAUCUUAUAGCUCGCCAAGAAAUACUUAAUGCUACGAUCUGGGGAAAAAGAAUACCUAAUCAUGAGGAUCCUCCAGAAUCUUUUCGAGUGCUCGUUCGAGAACUACGAUCUUUGGCUCUAGAACUGAAUCAUUUCCUUGUAUCUGAAAAGAACUUCCAGGUUAAUAGGGAGGAAGUUUGAUCGGAAUAAAUAUAAAU